UACGUAGGGGGCAAGCGUUGUCCGGAUUUAUUGGGCGUAAAGAGCGUGUAGGCGGCUUGGUAGGUCCGCUGUGAAAACUCGAGGCUCAACCUCGAGAUGUCGGCGGAAACCACUUGGCUAGAGUCCGGAAGAGGAGAGUGGAAUUCCUGGUGUAGCGGUGAAAUGCGCAGAUAUCAGGAAGAACACCAAUGGCGAAAGCAGCUCUCUGGGACGGUACUGACGCUGAUGCACGAAGGCCAAGGGGAGCGAAACGGG
rnacentral:rRNA from 1 species